AUUUCUGCGCGGCUGCGCGUAGGGCGUGGCGAGAUGAGCUCAGCGCCCCAGAGCCCGCCGGGCUCCAGGCCCACCUUGGAGACCCCCGCUCCAGCCGCCUGCCCCUCCUCUCCACUUCCCUGGCUGCUGUCAUGAUUGCCAUAAACUGAGUGGCCUGAAACAACAGAGUCAGAAAUCAAGGCAUCUGCAGGGCCAUGCUGUCUCCGAAGGCUCGGAGUAUGGACCCCUCCUUGCCUCCUCCUAGACUCUGUUUCCCUCCUGAAAUUCCAAGGAUGCUAGGAUUCAAUGCAUUUAAGGAGCAGACAACAAAGACGAUCACAAAGGAUCAAACUCACGUUCAUGGAAACAUCUGCGGAACUGUAACAUCAAGGCGUUUCCCUCCUAAGAGCAUCAAAACCUCUCCAGGCUGGGCGCGGUGGCUCACGCCUGUAAUCCCAGCACUUUGGGAGGCCAAGGCAGGUGGAUCACGAGGUCAGGAGUUCAAGACCAGCCUGACCAACAUGGUGAUACCUCGUCUCUACUAAAAAUACAAAAAUUAAUCAGGCGUUGUGGUGGGCACCUGUAAUCCCAGCUACUCAGGAGGCUGAGGCAGAAGAAUCGCUUGAACCCAGGAGGCGGAGGUUGCAGUGAGCCGAGAUGGCACCACAGCACUCCAGCCUGGGGACAGAGCGAGACUCUGUCUCAAAACAACAACAACAACAACAGCAACAAAAACAAAAAAAAACCUCUCCAGGAGCGAAUGUGAGAAAAUCUACAAGAUCUGCAAGGACUGAGAAAAGAAAACAGGCAGCCCUGCCUUUCAUCAGGCUAAGAAGACAGACGAGUAACCCACUGUGCAUUCACAGGACACAUGGUUUUCCCCAAGGUCUUGCCAAAGCUUCGAAACGCCACAACGCCCGCUUGACAGAUGGACUCCUGCUUUCUAACCAAGAACGCCCUAGACCCACUUGCUGCACUCAUUUAUGACUGGGGGAACGCAACAACCAAGGCAUCCUUGCCUCCUGACGGCCCAUCACCCUCAGUGAACCCCUACUUCUUCUGAGCCCACCUCUAAACAACAACCAGUGCAGAUGCGACUCCCACUUCCCUGAUACAUUAUCAAUUAUUAAAACUUCAUACUUCCAUGAGGACUCAGUAUCACACACAGGCUGUGAGUCCCCCAAGCAACUAGGCACACUGGUGUGAUAAGCCUGGUCUCUGCCUCCAGGUCCCCUUCUUGCCUUCCCCCGACUGUGACCCAGCGACAUUCCAAUGCACCAGUAAAAUCCCCUCAUACCUUCUGCUUGUGUGCCCCACCCUGACCCCCCGACACAGGUACUCGCCCACGGGUUCUCUUUCUCGACUCCCCACCUGCACUGCAGAGCCUGGGCCCUUGGCUCUCAUCCAACACGGCCGCUGCACGCAUGUGGUGCCUCCCUCUCCAGGACCUUGGAGCAGCAUAAAUCCUGUAAUUUCAUAUCAUUCUUGGACUGUAAUUGCUGCAGCCACUUGGGAAUGAUUCUUAAAGAUCCCACAAGGGAGACUUACUCCCACACUUACCUCACACCUGACACCAUCCUCCUCCUCCCCGCCCCCGCUUCCUCCUUCUCCUCCUCCAUCCGGAGCAAACCUCGCAAAAACACUUCUCCCAUUAUCAAGCCAUAUUCCAGCCUCCUCUGGGUGCCCUCCCCCGCUCACUGAAUCAAGACGAUAAAUCUGGUCAUUUCUGCAAAUCUGAAUUUGUCAAGGCACAAGCUUGUCCCUGAUGGUCCAGCCGAAUAAACAUGAACAACCCAAUGCUCAAGAAUAGCUCCAAA